ACGCUAGCUACAGGCUUAACACAUGCAAGUCGAGGGGUAACGUGAAGCAAGCUUGCUUGCUUUGACGACGACCGGCGCACGGGUGAGUAACGCGUAUCCAACCUGCCCCUUACUACGGGACAGCCCGGCGAAAGUCGGAUUAAUACCGUAUGUGGUGUGAAGAGGACAUCUGACUUACACUAAAGAUUCGUCGGUAAGGGAUGGGGAUGCGUCCGAUUAGGUUGUCGGCGGGGUAACGGCCCACCGAGCCCGCGAUCGGUAGGGGUUCUGAGAGGAAGGUCCCCCACACUGGAACUGAGACACGGUCCAGACUCCUACGGGAGGCAGCAGUGAGGAAUAUUGGUCAAUGGGCGAGAGCCUGAACCAGCCAAGUAGCGUGAGGGAAGACUGCCCUAUGGGUUGUAAACCUCUUUAGUCUGGGAAUAAAGUUGGCGACGUGUCGCCUUUUGUAGGUACCAGAAGAAUAAGGACCGGCUAAUUCCGUGCCAGCAGCCGCGGUAAUACGGAAGGUCCGGGCGUUAUCCGGAUUUAUUGGGUUUAAAGGGAGCGCAGGCGGCCUGUUAAGCGGGCGGUUAAAGGCGGUGGCUCAACCAUCGUUAGCUGUCCGAACUGCCAGGCUUGAGUACGUGCGAGGUAUGCGGAAAUUCGUGGUGUAGCGGGUGAAAUGCUUAGAUAUCACGAAGAACCCCGAUUGCGAAAGGCAGCAUACCAGUGCGCCACUGGACGCUAAAGCUCGAAAGCGCGGGUAUCGAACAGGAUUAGAUACCUUGGUAGUCCGCGCGGUAAACGAUGGAUGCCCG
rnacentral:rRNA from 1 species